UUUUCUUUCUGCUUAUCUUUGCAGUAUUUUUUCUUUAUUAUCAUCAUUCAAACUGUAUUGACCUCACAUAUAGCAAACCAGUAGUGUAUGUGUGCAAGUUUAGUGCCACUUCUAUGAUGGUAGAUAUUGGCUUAAUUGGUAUUGUUUAGAUUGAGGAGUAAUUUUGUAGACACCUCAAACAUUUUUUUAAUGUACAAAUAUGUGUUUGUCACACUUUGCCUAGUUGGUCUGGGUUGUGUUGGUUUAUUGUGGCUACUGAAACACUUGAUUGAUACCUUUGCUAGUACUUGGUAAUUUCUAUCAGAGAUAUCUUCCAUAAACUUCACCGUUUACAUUUCUGCAUGAGAAUAUUUGCUAAGAAAAUUCCAUUUAUUAUUCAGCAGUCACGCCAUAGAAUAUUUAUUGCAUAUUCUUAUUAUAUGUAACUCAUUCUUGAUUAAAACAUUUAACUAGAAGCAAGUAUAAAGUGUCAUGUCUUAAUAAAAGGACUUGGUUGUGAUGCAUGAGGUCCUGGUAGCAGGCAUUUUUUCAAUUCAAAAUAUGAUGAAGGUUCUUAAUUUGACAAACAUAAGGCUAAGUGAGGCGAUUUUGUAUUACAAAGGAAGGAAUUUACCUAAAAAAUAUAAUGAUAAGUAUGAAAAUUUACACUUAUUAAAGCAUCAAUAACAUGAAUAAAUCUUCAAUCAAGGAAACCUAUAAAUUUUUUUAGAGUAUAUUACUUAUUUGAAAUAUUUUAUUAGUUGAAAGUAGGGCAUAAGAUUAGUUGCAAAUAAUUAGGCAUGAGUCUUGUUACAAAUAAGGAGGGAACAAGGUCACUAAUGAACUAAAUUGUAUAUAUUAUGUGAAAAUUUAAUUUAAAAAGAUCAUUGAUUGGAUUCAACUUGUGAUAUCUACUUUGAAAACAAUGUGCAUGCCCCACUUGAGCUGAAGUUAUUUAGGGGUCAUAUGAUUUGUUGAAAAAGUAAUACAAUGUAUUUGAAAUAUCUUGACAUUGUUUGGAUGAAUGUAAAAUAAAUACAAGAGAUUAUUAUUUUUUGUUUGGCAUCAAGUUCAUAGAAUGCAAUGUAAACUCUUAUGGUGGCUAGUGGUGGAUGCAAUUGGCGGCAGGUGUGAGUGACGAUGGCGGUUAGUGGUAGGAUAUGAUGUGGGCAGCAACCAGUAGUGACGACGGUGGCAAUGGUAGAAUCUAAAGUGAAUUUGAAAUCGGCCAAAUCUAACGGUUUUCAAAUACGCUAAAAUUGAACUAGAGGGUGAAUUUCAAAUGCUUGAAAAUUCUAGCAUACAUUUCAUUUAAUUCAAACCAAACACUAAUAAUUUCAAAUCUUCUGCAUUUGGAAUACUUUAUAUCUAUUUUAUUUCAAAUUGAAUAGCCCCUUGGUGGUUGAUACAUCUCACAUACUAAUGAAAGUGAAAUCCUACAAUUUAAAAACUAAAAGAAAUUUAAUACAAUUGCUUCAAAAAAUGAAAACACUAUACAACUAGCUAAAAGUCAUCCCCAAACAAAAUUUACUGCUAACAGGGUUGCCUCUUAUGAAAUUGAUUUUCCAAUUUAGGUUUGCAAAAUUAGCAUAGCGUGGAUUUGUUAGGAAAACUCAAUAUGUAAUUUCUAUCUAUUAAGGUAUAAAUAUCAAUGCUUGGGGCAUGCAAUACGAUCAGUGAAAUGGCAUGGAUGAUAAAGUAUUUACAUCUAUAAAUCACAAUUGAAAUACUAGUACAAUGUUAUGAAAAAUGUAUGAACCAAAAAAGUUCAUAAUCAUGGAUGCUUACCAAUCAUAGCAUAUCAAGUAAAAGUCAUUUUGCCAUAAAGUUCAAGUCUUAUUAAUAGUGAUAUUCAAUGCAUGCAUAAACUAUGUAAUUAUUAAGUGUUCACAUUAUAUUUUCAUAACUAUAGUUGGCAUGUCAAGGAAUGUUAAUCCAUCAAUAAUAUAUAUUGUGUUGGCUGAUACAAUGAUCUUGAAUCAAUAGGAUGGUCAUUACCAACCUGGUAGAGUUCGUUGACCUGCCUCUUUAGAGUUGUCUCUCUACUUGUCAGGCUUGUCCUCAAUAUUUAUUAUUUUAGAACUUGAAGCUCAUACCCCUGCAUCACUUGGAAUUUUUUUUUUCUUGAUUCAAGGCAUGAUGCUGGCCUCAUUGGCUUAAGAAAGUGUAUGCCUUAAAACACCUUAUUGGUCAUGCCUGUUUGAGGAGUGUGAGAUACUAUGAUCUUCUCUCUCCCUGCUUCCUAGGUGAGUGCCAGACUUUCUUUUAACAAUAUUGAGUGAUAGUGCUUUGGAGUUGUAAUAGAGGAAUUAGGCUCCAUUAUACCUUCGAUCUUCUGCAUUCAUUAAAUUAUUUUUAUAGAAGCUUUUUGGUAGUUAAAUUAUUUCUUUUUUGGGGUUUUCAACAAAAUUUUUAUAGCUUAUUUUUUCCAUUUCCUUAUAAGUAUAUUGCUUCUUGAUAGUACAAUGCAUUCUUCCAUUUAAGUCAUGUUUUCUCCUUUGUGAGAUGGGCAAGUUUUUGCAUGGUUUUACCAAAGUGAGUUAAAAGGUGAUGAAUUACUGGAUUGGUGGAAUUGGGCAAUUGGAAAGGUAGUUAUGCAGCAGUAGAGUAAUAAAGCCAAAAUUGGAGGUUAUGUUAUCCAAUUGACAUGUCAUACAACCUUAUUACGACCUGUUCAUGAGAUUUGCACCUUCUAUUUUCCAGGGUAUUAUUAGCCUUCAAGUUCGAUGGGGAAGUAAAUAUCUAUAUAAUGUUUUAUGAAUCCUAAGUGGAUUUAGUUCAUAGAAAAAAAAGAGACUUUCUCUUUGUCGCUACCAAAAAAUAUAGCAGAUGCCUCACACACAUGCCAAAUGGCUUUCCUUUGGACAGACAGAAAAUAGUAAGGGAAUAUGUGGAAUUUUCUAUCUUGCCCUAGUGGAAUGUCAUGCAGCAGCUUGAGGCUGAGGACUGAAGACUUUGGAAUAUGCACUCCAAUUAAUAGGCCUUAGCCUUUAAGUGGAUAAUAUAAUGGAUUAUUGUAAUCAAUUUAUUACUACAAAGAACAUUCUAUUAGGAAAUACUUGGAAUUCCCAAGUAAAACCUAACCAUCUUGAUGAAAACAGUGAGAGUAAUCCAAAAAUUCAAAAGAAAAACCAGUUGCGAUAAUCAAACUAACGGAAGAAAAAUAACAAGAUACAAUUGAUCCUCUAUUCGAGAGGAGGAUCUAUCUCUCCCAAAUCUCUAAACACCGCUAAAGCUCAAAAACCUAAACAUAAGAGAGAUCAAAUUUGAGCCAAUUCAAAUCCUAACCCUAGGAAAACAAACUAUUUAAGGCAUACAAUACAAAAUAAAAUCUUUAAACAGUCCCUACAUUCAAAUUUUCCUCCUAACUCUCUCAAAAAUCCUUCCUAAAUAGCUCCCUUGGACCCGAGCGUAUGUUCGGCGCGUACCGGAGAGGCGGAACUUCCGCCUUUGUUCCUCCUGGGCCGGUCCCGUGUGAACUGGCUGGACCGGUCCAAUGGACCGAUCUAACAAUACUUCCUCCUCUGUUCUUCUUGGGCCGGUCUUAUGUGGACUGGCUGAACUGGUCUAACAAUACUCCCCUCCCAUUGGACCGGUCUAAUAAUACUCCACUCUCAAAGAUCCACCUUGUCCGCAAGAUGGAAAGACGACACCCUCCUCCAUUUCAGCUUCAUCACAAAUGACAAGAACCUAACGAGUAUGAUCCUUACACCCGUGCCCCAGCGUAUAUCUCUUGUCACAUAUGAAACAGAGCCCUUUGCACUUUUCUCUUGUAAUUCUAUUUCUGUGAGCUUCUUGAAGUUUUCCCCCGGUCUUCCAUCAAUAGUCUUCUCCUUCGGGGUCUCCCGAAAGGGUACCUAGUGUCGGAUACUUAGAUGCCAAAAAGGUGGUGGUCAUCCUGUAUGUGCCUCUUGAGCUGCUGCAUUCCGUCACUUUUUCCAAGUGCCUCUGAUCCUUCUCCAACUGAGCUAGCUCCAUGGCCUCUCCCAAGUCACGAGGUCUAAUUGCAAAGAGCCACAAGUUUGACAUGAAUCUGGCCUCCAACCCGCAAAAAAAUAGCAAGAUGGAGAGGAAAAUGUAGUAAAAAUCGGUGAGGAAAACUUCUAUUUCAGCCCAAAAAAUUGCUUUGAUACAAAUUUGUUAGGAAAUACUUAGAAUUUCCAAGUAAAACCUAGCUAUCUUGAU